rnacentral:rRNA from 1 species
ACACGACUACAUUAGAUACCCGGGUAGUCCUAGGCGUAAAUGAUGCGAGUUAAGUGUGGGGGCAUCUACGAGAUGGCCCUGUGCUGUAGGGUAGCCGUUAAACUCGCUGCCUGGGAGUACGGUCGCAAGGCUGAAACUUAAAGGAAUUGGCGGGGGAGCACCACAACGGGUGGAGCUUGCGGUUUAAUUGGAUUCAACGCCGGAAAUCUUACCGGGACCGACAGCAACAUGAAGGCCAGGCUGAAGACUUUGCCGGAUUAGCUG